AACUUGUUUUCAGGAAGGAUGCAGAAGAGUUUGGAGCUGCUGAUGUGGUAGAAUUCUACAAGAUUUUGACAGAAUCUAAUUAUUCCUGGCUAUCUAACUCCCACUGGAGUAAUGAUUAUCCAAAGGACAAAAACGUAAAGACUUGUAGAAAAUGGAACCUCACAAACUUUUUGUGGAAUGCAAAUUAGUAUGGAAAACAUGAGCUGUUCCUGCUGAGAUGUCGUUUCUGCUUCGGACUUCUAUAUGCAAGACUAUUUUCAACUUCUGCAAGCCAAGUUUUUGUCACUCUGUAUAAAAACAGCACAUCAACUAAGCAUCUUUAGAUAUUGUCAAAGCUAUACAUUUGUCUAUUUGAUGGCAUUGCUAUAGAAACACAGCUCAGUGAGAUUACUGCCCUCCCCUAAGAAUAUACAUUAUUUCUGAUUCUUCCUCAAAAUAAUGCAUCUCCUGACAUCCUGUGCCAGGUCUCAAAACUUUUUUUUUAUUAGGUAUUUUCCUCGUUUACAUUUUCAAUGCUAUCCCAAAGG